GCCUAUUGUGGGACCUUAUGAUCAUGCAAAAGGACUUGUAAGUAUCAUGCUCUUUCUCUUCGAAGAGCUGGAGAAAUCAGAGGCUCUGAACCUCAUGGAAGAACGCACAGGCAAACCAGGCAAAAGCUGGAGUUUCAACUGCAGUCAGCCGGCCUUCACUUUAUCUUAUGCUGCCUUUGCCCUCCAGAGAGGUUUUGUUCCCAAAAAAUCUCCGAAAGGUGCCCAGCUAUGACAUCCAGCACUUCAUUUGUUGAUUCGAAGACCUGGGUUAAAAUACCAGCUCUGCCAUUUCAUUCAAGAUUCCCCUGAAUUCACAUUUAUUGGACACUAUGGUAUGUCGAAACUGUGCUCUGAUGAGGGAAUGAAAAGCUGAAUCAGGUGUGACUACUGCUUUCAAGGUGCUGCAGACUUUAUUGUGUUUCCCCAAGUUCAUAUGUUGAAGCCAUAACCUCCAGUGUGGCUGCAUUGGCAGAUAGGGCCUCUAAGUGGGUAGUGGAGGUUACAUGUGUCAUCGGGGUGCGGCCCUGAACCAAAAGGAUUAGUGUUCUUAUAAGAAGAGAUGCCAGAAAGAAAACAAAAAGAAAAAGAAAAGAAGAAAAGACAGGCCAGGUGCAGUGGCUCUCACCUAUAAUCCCAGCACUUUGAGAAACUGAGGCAGGAGGAUUGUUCAAACCCAGGAGUUUGAGACCAGCCUGGGCAAUAUAGUAAGACCCCAUCUCUACAAAAACUUUUUAAGAAAGAAAGAAACUGGCUGGGCAUGGUGGCUCAUGCCUGUAAUCCCAGCACUUUGGGAGGCCAAGGAGGGCAGAUCACAACGUCAGGAGAUCGAGACCAUCCUGGCUAACACAGUGAAACCCCGUCUUUACUAAAAAUACAAAAACAAAAUUAGCCAAGCGUGGUGGUGCAUGCCUGUAGUCCCAGCUACUCGGGAGGCUAAGGUGGGAGAAUGGCGUGAACCCGGGAGGUGGAGCUUGCAGUGAGCUGAGAUGGUGCCACUGCACUCCACCCUGGGUGACAGAGCAAGACUCUGUCAAAAAAAAAAAAAGAAAGAGAGAGAAAGAAAGAAGAAAGAGAAAGAGAAAGAAAAAGAAAGAGAGAAAGAGAAAGAAGAAAGAAAGAAGAAAGAAAAAGAAAGAAAGAAAGAAAAAAAAAAAGAAAGAAACAAAGAAAGACAAAGAAAGAAAGACAAAAGACACCAAAGCUAAUUAUUUCUCUCCAAGAACACAUACAAAGGAAAGGUCUUGCAAGGCCAUAGCGAGAAGGUGGCAGUCUGCAAGUCAGGAAGAGAGCCCUCAUCAGAAACUGAAUCCCUGCCUACAGAAUGUGAGAUAUAAAUGUCUAUUGUUUAAGCUCCCUAUCUGUGGUACCUCAUCAUGGCAGUCUAAGCUGACUGAGACACAUGAAGAUCAGAGCUUAGAAGUAGGAACAGGCGAGUUGGGUGGGGCAGGCUGUUUUGUUUGCAGGACGUGUCUCAGCUCACAUCGGGUUGGUAGGUCUUCCUCUGCAGCUGUUGUGACCAUGAAGCAAGCAGGCCCUCAGGAACCUGGCCUUACUGCCAGGCCUCACAGGGGGAGUCGAGGGACAGGAUGGCCACUCUGUGUCCAGAACAUGGGUAACAACUAGUGAACAGGUCGAUGGGAGACUAGGGUGACAAGUGACUGGGAAGUCUGAAACUACUGAAGCCUGUGUGGGUCUACUGAAGGGAUUUGACAGGGAGACGAUAUGGUCCCAGCCAUGGAGAGGCCAGCCUGGGCUGCUCUGUGGUCCCCGAGACCCUGGCCUGAGGGUGCACCAGCCCCAGCAUCAAUCAGAUCUCAUGGUGUUUCUAGGAUUCAAGGCCCUCAUGGAGCCCCUGAAAGCAAGGCUCACUUUCCUAAGCUCUUCAAAGCUCAAGGAGCCAACGGCAGACCUGACACAUCCUGCAAUGCUCUCAGCAUGGGCCUGCUUAGCCUGCUCCCUCCUCAGCCAGUUUGCCCCAGAAACUAAAAAUAAAAUUGACAACAGAGGAGCAUUAAACAGCAAAAUCUAGCUGAGGGAGGAGCAGAGGCUUUGAACAAGGACAACUGGCACACACCGUGGUCACCUCUGGUUGUCCCGUCCUCCCUGGGCGUUGGGAGUUUAUGGAUGGAUAUUCACUGGAGCGCCUGCUCUGCCAAGAGAUAACUCAGCUUUCCUCUAAACCUCUGUGGUUUUAUCUCUUUUGUUUGUUUACUAUUUCUUCCUCCUCCCCUACAUGAGAAACAUCUCCCUGUAUCUCCAGUUCAAAUUCCCCAAAGCGAGAAUCUAAUUUGGUCUUCAGACCCUCUUUGAAGGGCUGCUGUCGUACAGGGCCAUUGGAUGGUCCUGCCAGCCUGCAAGCUGGCUGUCCUGGCUCCCAGGUAGUGACCUGUGGGCAGAGACCUUUUCCUGCAAGGGGGUGGUGAGAAUCCAGGCACACUGGGGCAAGCCUGCCCUGCCUGUAUUGGGCAGAAUGUACUCAGCUGCUCGCAAGAGAAUAGCCACAUACAAGCCGUCUCUAUUGCUGUGAGCUCAUUUUCCAUAGCAAGAAGCCUGCAGGUGGUUGGUCCUAGAACUCAGUGGCUCUGUGACCCCACAGAGGAUAUUUUUCCAUCUGCCAAGUGGCUGGACAGUAGUUGCAGCAGUUCAAUGAAUACAUCAAAUCCAAAGAUUUCCUUGAUGCUCCCCUACCCCCACCCUCAGGAGAUGUGUUGAUGUCUCUUUGACAAAAGAGAGCCACAGUCCCACCUCUAGCUGCAAGAGAAGCUGGUGGAGUGAGAAGCUGGUGUAUACAAUGUCUACAGGGGUAAGUGGAUUCUAAUGACAAGGGAGAUGAUGGAACAUUGUGUAGGCAAACGUCUGCCCUACGAAGUAAACAGUUAACUAUAGCGUGGUACUGCAAGCGCUAUAAUAAUUUGCUAAGACACUGAUAUGGUUUGGCUAUGUCCCCAACCAAAUCUCACCUUGAAGUGUAAUAAUCCCCAUGUGUCAAGGGCAGGGCCAGGUGGAGAUAAUUGAAUCAUAGGGGGCGGUUUCCCCAUACUGUUCUCAUGGUAGUGAAUAACUCUCACGAGAUCUGAUGCUUUUAUAAAGGGGAGUUCCCCUGCCCAAGCUCUCUUGCCUGCCUUCAUGUAAGACGUGACUUUGCUCCUCAUUCGCCUUCAGCCAUGAACGUGAGGCCUCCCCAGCCAUGUGGAUGUGAGUUCAUUAAACCUUUUUCCUUUAUAAAUUAUGCAGUCUCGGGUAUGUCUUUAUUAACAGUGUGAGAACAGACUGAUACAGACACUUUUUGGGAUAAGUCACAUAACCUCUUCGAGGCUCAGAUUCCUAAAAUGAAAAAUGAAAAUGAUAGUACUUACAUCACAGAGGUGUUGUACAGAUUAAUAUGAAAUAAUGUAUAAGAAAGUCUCUAUUUCAAUACUUAAUAGGUAAUAAACGCACCUUGGCUCCUUCCUCCCCAUCAACUACAGGGUAAAUGUGCAAUAAAUACUUGCUAACCAAAUAAACAUUGCUUAUCUGGAA